AAAAUACAAUAAAUGUCGACGAGAUGUGGGGAGAGGAAUCCUUCUAUACUGACGUUUCAACAACGUGAAGCUGCAUGAAUUGUAAGUGACUAUAGCACAAGCAUCCCUGCAGGGAUUGUAGCUUCUGCCAGACAAUGCAUAUCGAAGAUCUUCACAUUUUCAAGAGAUGGAAAGGCUGGCUGUUUUUGCUGAAAUCAAACCAUCCAUUCAGCCCCGACUGCUACACAGGAGCGAGGUGAGGCACACAGACGCCUAGGCACACUCGCUGCUGAAGGGUGCAGGGUCCCCGUCGGCUUCCGGGCUGCUCUGUGCUUGGGGGCCGAGACCCUCGGGGGGACGCAGAUUCUUCUCCGUCCUUACCCCGUGCCCUGCAGCUCACGCGUGCCCACGAAAAACGCGAUCUGAGGCCAGUUAUCCGACAGCCCACAGAAGCGCGCAGCACCCCUGGACGGAAGACACCUGCUCACUGCCGCACGGCCGGGACAACCGACAGCCGGCUCC